GGUGUCAGGCUCAGCUGGUUGAAAUGGGUCAAAUUGUGUUUAAAUAUUUGGUCCCCUUCAACCAGCUGUAGUUGACACGACAU
rnacentral:pre_miRNA from 13 species